rnacentral:sRNA from 1 species
UGACGCCUGGUUAAGCAGCCUAGCAGCGC